UACGUAGGGUGCAAGCGUUAAUCGGAAUCACUGGGCGUAAAGCGCACGUAGGCGGACUCUUAAGUCGGUGGUGAAAUCCUGGAGCUCAACUCCAGAACUGCCUUCGAUACUGGGAGUCUUGAGUUCGGGAGAGGUGAGUGGAACUGCGAGUGUAGAGGUGAAAUUCGUAGAUAUUCGCAAGAACACCGGUGGCGAAGGCGCUAC
rnacentral:rRNA from 1 species